UCAUUUCCUGCUUGAGGUGAUGAAGGAAACAGAGCCAGCAGAUAUCCAGUGUCAGACACUGAGACACUUAACACUGAUCUAAGGCCCAGGAAACACACAGACAUGUGCCCCAUGCCUCUCCAAAGCCUGCUCUCUAUGUUGGUGGCCUUGGCCUUAUCUGGAUUCAAUUUGGGCCAGAAAGUGACUCAGUUCCAAUCAACCGUAAGCACACAGGAGGGAAAAGAAGUCACCCUAGACUGUUCAUAUGAGACAAGUCGGAGCUUAUACUAUCUUUAUUGGUACAAGCAGCUUCCUAGUGGAGAAAUGAUUAUUCUUCUUCGCCAAAUGUCUUCUUCUCCUCGGACUGACAAGUGGAACCGCUACUCUGUCACCUUCCAGAAAUCAGCCAAGUCCAUCAGCCUUGUCAUUUCAGCCUCACAGGUGGAAGAUUCAGUGAAGUAUUUCUGUGCACUCUGCGAACAGACUCACAGUGUUUGAAAAGAUAGCACAAGCUGAACAAAAACUGCAGCUCCUUGAGCAGAGCAUCUCUCAGGGAGCCCCGAUGAGAGGAACAUCUGCACACCCAGGCCAGAAGGUCCCAACCAUGACUCCUUCGUCUGUGGUCUGCUCAGAUGUGUGUUUCUAAGUAAAACCUCAUAUUAUGCAAUUUA